rnacentral:rRNA from 1 species
AGUGAACGCUGGCGGUAGGCCUAACACAUGCAAGUCGAACGGCAGCACAGUAAGAGCUUGCUCUUACGGGUGGCGAGUGGCGGACGGGUGAGGAAUACAUCGGAAUCUACUUUUUCGUGGGGGAUAACGUAGGGAAACUUACGCUAAUACCGCAUACGACCUACGGGUGAAAGCAGUGGAUCUUCGGACCUUGCGCGAUUGAAUGAGCCGAUGUCGGAUUAGCUAGUUGGCGGGGUAAAGGCCCACCAAGGCGACGAUCCGUAGCUGGUCUGAGAGGAUGAUCAGCCACACUGGAACUGAGACACGGUCCAGACUCCUACGGGAGGCAGCAGUGGGGAAUAUUGGACAAUGGGCGAAAGCAUGAUCCAGCCAUACCGCGUGGGUGAAGAAGGCCUUCGGGUUGUAAAGCCCUUUUGUUGGGAAAGAAAAGCAGCAGGCUAAUACCCCGCUGUUCUGACGGUACCCAAAGAAUAAGCACCGGCUAACUUCGUG